rnacentral:rRNA from 1 species
AACGAACGCUGGCGGCAUGCCUAACACAUGCAAGUCGAACGAGACCUUCGGGUCUAGUGGCGCACGGGUGCGUAACGCGUGGGAACCUGCCCUUAGGUUCGGAAUAACUCCCCGAAAGGGGUGCUAAUACCGGAUAAUGUCUUCGGACCAAAGAUUUAUCGCCUUUGGAUGGGCCCGCGUUGGAUUAGGUAGUUGGUAGUGUAAAAGCAUACCAAGGCGACGAUCCAUAGCUGGUCUGAGAGGAUGAUCAGCCACACUGGGACUGAGACACGGCCCAGACUCCUACGGAAGGCAGCAGUAGGGAAUAUUGUACAAUGGGCGAAAGCGUGAUCCAGCAACGCCGCGUGUGUGAUGAAGGCCUUAGGGUUGUAAAGCUCUUUUACCCGGGAUGAUAAUGACAGUACCGGGAGAAUAAGCACCGGCUAACUACGUG